rnacentral:rRNA from 1 species
GAUGAACGCUGGCGGCGUGCCUAAUACAUGCAAGUCGAGCGAACAGACGAGGAGCUUGCUCCUCUGACGUUAGCGGCGGACGGGUGAGUAACACGUGGAUAACCUACCUAUAAGACUGGGAUAACUUCGGGAAACCGGAGCUAAUACCGGAUAAUAUAUUGAACCGCAUGGUUCAAUAGUGAAAGACGGUUUUGCUGUCACUUAUAGAUGGAUCCGGGCCGCAUUAGCUAGUUGGUAGGGUAACGGCUUACCAAGGCGACGAUGCGUAGCCGACCUGAGAGGAUGAGGAGUCACACUGGAACUGCGACACGGUCCAGACUCCUACGGGAGGCAGCAGUGGGGAAUAUGGGCCAAUGGGCGAAAGACUGAUCCAGCCAUGCCGCGUGUGUGAAGAAGGUCUUCGUAUUGUAAAGCACUUUAAGUUGGGAGGAAGGGCAGUAAGUUAAUACAUGGCUGUUUUGACGUUACCAACAGAAAAAGCAACGGCUAACUUCGUG